UGCUUCCUUGUUUUGGCAAUUGCUGUUGUGAUGGAUCCGAGAUUUAAAAUGAAGCUUGUUGAAUUCAGUUUUUCUAGGAUAUUUGGAGAGGAUGCUGGUAUGUGGAUCAAGAUUGUUGAUGAUGGGAUUCAUGAACUCUUUCUUGAAUAUCUUGCACCAAAUCUUUCUCUAUCAACAACUUUUAUGGAAGCGGAGGAUAUGGGUAUCUCCCGAUCAGAGAUUCUUCAAGAAGCACCCAAUCAAGAAGUAGCACCCCAGGAAGCAUGUUUUGAAGAAGUACCCCUUCAAGUGGUGUACUCUGCAGAUGUGCCUUCUCUAGAACACUCUCAAGGAGCAGCCUUUAAAGAUGUAAAGCCUGAAGAAAUUACUCCCCAAGUGCACCCUAAAAAAGAAUCUCCACAAGAUGCAUCUCCUCAAGUGAUACACCAUCAUGAAGUAGCCCAACAAGAGAUGCACACUCAAGAAUUACCAAUGCAAGAGAUGCAGACUCAGGAACUACCUGUGCAGGAGAUGGACGCUCAAGAAAUGCCAGAGCAGGAUAUGCACACUCAAGAAGCACCAGUGCCAGAGAUGCAAACUCAGGAAGCACCAAUGCAUGAGAUGAAGACUAAGGAAACAACAGUGCAGGAGAUGGAGACUCAAGAAGCACCAGUGCAGCAGAUGCACACUCAAGAAGCACCAGUGCUGCAAGAAGUACCAUUGCAAGAUGCAGACACUCGAGAAGUACCUGCUCAAGAGAUGCAC
rnacentral:misc_RNA from 1 species